rnacentral:rRNA from 1 species
UACAGAGGUCUCAAGCGUUGUUCGGAUUCAUUGGGCGUAAAGGGUGCGUAGGUGGCGGGGUAAGUCUGGUGUGAAAUCCUGGGGCUCAACCCCGGAACUGCACUGGAUACUGCUUUGCUAGAGUACUGGAGAGGGAACUGGAAUUUACGGUGUAGGAGUGAAAUGCGUAGAUAUCGUAAGGAAGACCAGUGGCGAAGGCGAGUUCCUGGACAGUUACUGACACUGAGGCACGAAGGCCAGGGGAGCAAACGGG